rnacentral:rRNA from 1 species
AUGCCAGUUCCAGUUGUUGAAGCAAGAUCAAGGACUGUAAGCAUGUUUGCAGGAGCUAAAAGCACGCUAAAGAACGAUCAUUCAAAGAUGCCACAUUCCACUAAAUUUUCAGUUGGUAAUAGUGGAAUGUCAGAAAGAAACAGUGGAGUGUUCCUGUUCCACUUAUUAUUUUGGUAUUCGAAUAGUCGGCAAAAGGGAAGCUGUGGUAGCCUUUUCUGCAUUUCUCAAGAUGUUAGUGUAGCAAUCAGUCGAUUGCUUGUAAAAACUUUGUGGGCAAAUGUGCAAGCAUAUUUUUCUUAG